GGAAUCUUGGCGUAGAUGGUCUGCGCGUCUGCCUGAAGAGCAGAAGGUUUCGGUUCGAUACCGAGAGAUUCCA
rfam:Corchorus olitorius cultivar O-4 contig03850, whole genome shotgun sequence.